rnacentral:rRNA from 1 species
AUGAACGCUGGCGGCGUGCCUAAUACCUGCAAGUCGAGCGAACAGACGAGGAGCUUGCUCCUCUGACGUUAGCGGCGGACGGGUGAGUAACACGUGGAUAACCUACCUAUAAGACUGGGAUAACUUCGGGAAACCGGAGCUAAUACCGGAUAAUAUAUUGAACCGCAUGGUUCAAUAGUGAAAGACGGUUUUGCUGUCACUUAUAGAUGGAUCCGCGCCGCAUUAGCUAGUUGGUAAGGUAACGGCUUACCAAGGCAACGAUGCGUAGCCGACCUGAGAGGGUGAUCGGCCACACUGGAACUGAGACACGGUCCAGACUCCUACGGGAGGCAGCAGUAGGGAAUCUUCCGCAAUGGACGAAAGCCUGACGGAGCAACACCGCGUGAGUGAUGAAGGUCUUCGGAUCGUAAAACUCUGUUAUUAGGGAAGAACAAAUGUGUAAGUAACUAUGCACGUCUUGACGGUACCUAAUCAGAAAGCCACGGCUAACUACGUG